ACCUAUAACCACGUUGCAAAGCCUUUUUAUCUUCUCAUCGUAAAGUCAAAUCAGCCCACACUGACUUUCCGUCCUCAGAAGGCUGCCUUUAUUUUUUAGAUAAGUCUGUGAAUACAUCUCCUGUGACAUCCAUCUCACUUCUGACUUCUGAGAUAAAUGGAGUUUUACUUUGUCGCCCAGGCUGGAGUGCAGUGGCGAGAUCAUGGCUCACGUCAACCUCUGCUUCCCCAGCUCAAGAGAUUCUCCUGCCUCAGCCUCCGGAAUAGCUGGGACUACAGAAGAGGAAAUUUGGACCCAGACACAGAGGGAAGAUGAUGUGAAGACACUGAGCGGAGACAGCCAUCUACAAACCCAGGAGAGAGGCCUCAGAAGGAAUCCACGCUGCCAACACCUUGAUCCUGGAUUUCCAGCCUCCAGAAAGGUGAGAAAAGAAAUGUCUGUUGUUAAAGCUACUCAGUCUGCGGUAUUUCUUAUGGCAGCCGGAGCCAACUCCUACGGUGUAAGUCAUGAACUAGACUAGUGGACUUCAUACUUUUUGACUACACCCAACAGUAACAAAUUUAUUUUGCAUCGUG
rnacentral:lncRNA from 1 species